AAAACAAGGUAUUCGCACGAUGAGAUAACACGCCUAUUUUCUUUCACUACCCUAAACCGGCAAAGCUCUGAUUAAGCCACCUGUACCCGAGGCUGGCGACUGAGCAGCAGAGAAACUGACCCGCGUCUCCAUGGCGACGCGUCAUAAAGCUGCAGUGCAGCCUGCUGGGCAAACUCAUGCUGGAACCGCAGCUCGGCUCAAGACUGUCUCUUCCGGGCAGGAUGCCGGUCGAGCCCAAGACUCCAUGCCCCUCUCAAUGUGACCGCAUGCUCCAACCAACAGGUGAUGCCAACUGGGAUUCCUAUGCUACCACAAUGAAGACGGCAUUCACAUAUAAAACAGGAGCAGUACCAGCUUUAAUUCGUCAAAAAAGUAUCAAAAGAUUAGGAUAUACAUACUCUCUUAGUGAUUCUACUCUUAAUCAGACCCAGUACAAUGAUGAAUAUAUUUGGAAAUCAUACUCUAAAGGAAAUUUGAUAAAAAAUGAGACUUCACGAGAAAUGAAGAGCUACAAAUCACAUCCCAAUCAAGGACUUCAAUGGACAUUACCUAAAGGGGAUUCAGUGAUGACACCAAGAAGCUGCCUCCCUUGGAAAAUUCCUGCUUCCAUGGAAGAAAUUCAGAAGGCAAUUGCAGAUCAGUUUAUUUCUUGUACUAAGAGAGACUUUCUGGACCACACCAAAGCUCAGGAGAUUAAGCAAAGUUCUCAGGUGUCCCUGGAAUGGAAAAAGUUCCUUCCCCGACCUCUAGACACUGAAUUUCGACAGAAUUAUCAAAUUCCAGCUAAAAUUCCAGAGUUGCAGGAUUUUAGUUUCAAAUAUGGAUGCUUCUCAAGACUGCCAAUUGCUUCUCAGGGUCUAGUCCCCUCCGUGCUGCACAGCUACAUGAGGAAUCAAGAACUCACGAAGCAGCAGACCAGAUACCAAAGUGACUACGGGAAAGCCUACCUGGACUUCUUAAUGAUCCUGAACUCAUUUACUCCCUCUCAAGUUAAUGAGUACCUUCAGAGUGUUUCCUACAAAGGAGCAUCAAUUACCAUCACCUGUGAUAGGAUUAACACACCAAGGAAGGGACGGUAGGAGGAGGAAGCUCCCCGGUACUCCAGUUACAGACCCUGGCACCCACAGUGGAAGAAACUGCUCCAAGGGACCAAGUGGACACAAUUCUAGGGGGUAAAAGAGUUCCUGGGAGGCUUUGCUGUAUGCUACCAUGAACUGGAAAGGAAGAAGAACAAGUUCUGCCUUGGGAAGGUUAGAAGCAUCUGAUGUUAACAGCAUCCUGAACCCAGCAGCAACCCUGAGAAACCUGGUGAUUAUUCGAGCUCACACUUGCCCUGCUGGGCAUCAGCCUUCGUUAGAUCAAAGGCUGUGUAACGAGGAACCCCCAGCCUGGCUGCUGCGGGCCUCCCUCACGCGCCAGAGGAUGCGCAGCCACUCAGUGGGCAUAGAGGACCUGGCAGCAGGGAGGACGCCACCGCACCACACAGACCUUGCACAGAGCCUGAGCCCAGGAAAGAUUGAACAUCAAGUGACCCUGGAAGAACUACAAAAUUUAAACGCACUAUUUCAGAAACAAAUGGUGAAUGCAUCAGAGAAAUGAACAAAAGAUAUGUUAGAAGUUGACAGAGUUUAGGAGCAUGAAAAGAGAGGAACACGACUGCUGGAUAUGGAAACAUUCAAAAGCAUAAUGAAGCAGAGUAUGAGGUCCCAGAAUAAAAAUAUCAAACAAAUAGAACAAUUUUUCAUGAAAAUAGACUAUGAAGCAGUGGGUAAAAUUCAGUGGAGUACUCGUUGACCCUCAGUACUUCUGUCAACUUGAAGCUGAAUGAAGAGAACGUGCUUGUUUGCAAUUUUCAAAUUUAUGUAAUGGUAACCCAUAGUUGGAGUAGUUUAACUAGGUAUUUCAGUAACUAAGGCAAGUUACAUGAAAGAAAUUCUUAAACCAAGAAUGGAGGGCCAUAUCCACCACUUUACUGAAAAGCCAGGAAAGUACUGCAGGCAAUGAUACAUGGUGAUAAUGAAAUCAGUGAACACAUGUAAAGUGUUUAGAACUGGGGUUGUCACACAAUAAAUUCUCAGCAAGUAUUAUUAUGAUUCCUGUUAAUAUUAUCCAAUUUUGGUUAUGUAAUAACAAAGAGCUGAGAUACCUGUUUUUUUGAUUCUUGGCCAUCAUGUCUGUCAGUGUCCUUCCAUUGUUCUGGGAUGAAUUAAGUUCAAAAGUGACAAAUUGAGCAGUAAGUCAUCUGUAUUCAGGCCUUUGGCCAAUUCUACAGUGCCCUCACUGUCAUAUGAUUUGAAAAGGAAUAUUCAAGAUUCCAGGGCAGAGAAGGGAAGCUUCUAGUGAAAGAGGAUUUUGGAAGAGGUGGACAGAAAAUGAAGAUUUCCCAGGUCCAAAGAGACUCCACCCUUUCUAUUUUUGAUCACAAAGUUCCUUCCCAUUAGUAUACUGCUAAGAUUCAAAAAAAGGCAUAUGCCCUGCUGUGUGGGAACUUCAGAAUCAGAUCAAUGACAACACAAGUCUCUGGCUGGCCAUUGGCUAGUUGUUCCAUCUUAGGCAAGCCAUUUAACUUCUCUUCAAGCUUGAGUUUCCCAGUUCAUAAAAUGGGGUGAGCGAUGGACCUUAACCCCUUUAGGAAUGAUGAGAAUUGAAGUGAAGACCCACACUACAUGGAACAUGGUACACUCUAACAGUCAUUAUCAUCACCGCCAUUGUCAUCAUCAUCAUCAUCAUCAUCAUCAUCAUCAUCAUCAUCAACAACAACAACAACAACACCAUUAAAGAAAAAGGGAAAGCAGAAGAAGUAAGCUGGCAGCUGGGAAACAGACUUCAGGCCCAGCUGAGCAUGCUUACCACAGUUAUUACACGGUGGCUUCUGGACGUAUCUACAGCUAGAGUAUUUGAAGCAGGCCAAGGCUUUGGCCUGACAGAAAGAGGUGUCCUUCCUGCUGCCUGCUGUAGUGCCACAGAGGCUGUCACAUGGGGGUCUUGUGCUGCGCAUUCUCUCUGUGCCUGAUGACACCUUAAUCAUGAUCAGAGAAGAUGGAGCUAUUUAUUUCUGGUCCCUGCAGCUGAAGCUGAAAAGAAAAAAGUGGAUUUUUGUAUGUGAUUUUCAUUUGAUAAGGAUGCUGAGUGCUACAGUUUGAUUUUAUUUGCUAUUUUAAACUGCUCCUUAAGUGGCAUGAUUACAUAAAUUGUGCCCUUGAAUAUAAUAUAUUCAUGUUGCAUUUUGUUAGGCUACGGAAUGCAAAUAAAA